rnacentral:lncRNA from 1 species
CGUCACCACGCCCGGCGGCCGCCAUUACAGAGAGCCGCGCUCUGGAGCCUCAGCGAGCGGAGGAGGAGGCGCAGCGGCCGACGGCCGAGUACUGCGGUGAGAGCCAUAGGGCCAGCGCCAGCCUCAACAGCCGCCAGAAGUACACGAGGAACCGGCGGCGGCGUGUGCGUGUAGGCCCGUGUGCGGGCGGCGGCGCGGGAGCAGCGCGGAGCGGCAGCCGGCUGGGGCGGGUGGCAUCAUGGACGAGAAGGUGUUCACCAAGGAGCUGGACCAGUGGAUCGAGCAGCUGAACGAGUGCAAGCAGCUGUCCGAGUCCCAGGUCAAGAGCCUCUGCGAGAAGGUUCGUUACCGUGAACGCAUCACCAUUCUUCGAGGGAAUCAUGAGAGCAGACAGAUCACACAAGUUUAUGGUUUCUAUGAUGAAUGUUUAAGAAAAUAUGGAAAUGCAAAUGUUUGGAAAUAUUUUACAGAUCUUUUUGACUAUCUUCCUCUCACUGCCUUGGUGGAUGGGCAGGUAUGUGGAUCUAAAAUUCAUUGCUGAUUAUUUCAGAGAAUCUGCUUUCUUUAGUGUUCAGGUGCUCAUGACUCUUUCCACUCUUAACACCCCUUUGGGGAUAUGUUUUAAUAGAUAUUCAUAGCAUUCAUUCAAACUUAAAAAAAUUUAAUUUGACAAAUGUGUCCAACUUUUUUAAGUGCAUUAUUCUUUAUAUCAGGCACUGAACUGUAUGGUGGGAUCACAGGGGUGGGUGAUGUAGCCCAUUUACCCUCUCAGACUGUUUUGGACAAGUCUGGGAGAUGUAAGGAGCUAAUUAUUGGCCUAGGUAGAUGUGCACACAAAAGAACUUACAAUAAAAUUUUAUGAGUAUGAAGAUACUAGUCUCUGGCAAAGGGCAGGAGUGAUAUCCAAGAAGUUUUCUCAAAGGAGCUGUUUGAAGUGGAGUCUGGUUGUGACAGCGAUGGUCUAUUAGGAAGAACAGGAGUGUACUCAAUAGUUCAGAGUGGGCUGGAGCAAAGAUGAACCCUGCAAAGUCAAGUCUCAUUCAGGUAGAGCACAGAAACACCAGAGGGGCCAAGUGAUGGGGGUGCCCAGCUCAUUUUUUAAAAUUUUUGUAGAGACACAGGGUCUUGCUCUGUUGCUCAGGUUGGUCUCAAACUCCUGGCCUCAAGCAGCCCUCCUGCCUCAGCUUCCCAAAGUGCUGGGGUUACAGGCAUGAGCCACUGUGCCGGGCCAAGUAAUGGGGGUGCCCAGCUCAUUUUUUAAAAUUUUU